rnacentral:rRNA from 1 species
CCUACGGGUGGCUGCAGUGAGGAAUCUUGGUCAAUGGACGAGAGUCUGAACCAGCCAAGUAGCGUGAAGGAUGACUGCUCUCUGGGCUGUAAACUUCUUUUAUAUGGGAAUACGAUGUUCAACGUGUGUGAUUUUGUAUGUACCAUAUGCAUAAGGAUCGUCUAACUCCGUUCCAGCAGCCGCGGUAAUACGGAGGAUCCGAGCGUUACCCGGAUUUGUUGGGUUUAACGGGAGCGUAGGUGGAUUGUUAAGUCAGUUGUGAAAGUGUUCGGCUCAACCGUAAAAUUGCAGUUGAAACUGGCAGACUUGAGUACAGAAGAGGUGAGCGGAAUUCGAGGUGUAGCGGUGAAAUGCUUAGAGAUAACGAAGAACUCCAGUGGCGAAGGCAGCUCACUGGACUGCAACUGACACUGAGGCUCGAAAGUAUGGGUAUCAAACAGGAUUAGAUACCCGAGUAGUC